UACGAAGGGGGCUAGCGUUGUUCGGAAUUACUGGGCGUAAAGCGCGCGCAGGUGGUCUUUCAAGUCAGUGGUGAAAGCCCGGAGCUCAACUCCGGAAAUGCCAUUGAAACUGUAAGACUUGAGGAUGAGGGAGGUGAGUGGAAUUCCCAGUGUAGAGGUGAAAUUCGUAGAUAUUGGGAAGAACACCGGUGGCGAAGGCGGCUCACUGGCUCAUAUCUGACGCUCAGGCGCGACAGCGUGGGGAUCAAACAGG
rnacentral:rRNA from 1 species